UAGAUUGAUGAUUAGGGUGAAGUCGUAACAAGGUAUCCGUACGAGAACGUGCGGAUGGAUCACCUCCUUUCUAUGGAGUUAAUACUUUAUAGUAAUUAACUAGUUUUAAUGACCGUUAUGUUUAGUUUUCAGAGAUUAGUUUCUCUGACAAUAGCAAAUAAAUGUUAUUGAAAUUGUUCUUUGAAAACUGGAUAAUAAACAUCUAGUUAUUUUAAUCACUUGAUUAAAAUAACAAUAAUUCAAAAUUUCUGUUAUUUUUAAAAAAUAACUAAAAUUUCACAG
rnacentral:misc_RNA from 1 species